rnacentral:rRNA from 1 species
UCAGACGAUGCGUCAUGCAUAUCAAUAAGCGGAGGAAAAGAAACUAACAAGGAUUCCCCUAGUAACGGCGAGUGAAGCGGGAAGAGCUCAAAUUUGAAAUCUUAAAGGGUUUCCCUUUACGAAUUGUAGUUUAAAGAAGUGUUUUCUGUUGAGGUUUUGGUAAAAGUUCUUCGGAAUAGGACAUCAUAGAGGGUGAGAAUCCCGUACUUUGACCUUUACUUUCAACUUUGUGAUACACUUUCAAAGAGUCGGAUUGUUUGGGAAUGCAGUCCAAAAUGGGUGGUAAAUUUCAUCUAAAGCUAAAUAUUGGCGAGAGACCGAUAGCGAACAAGUACCGUGAGGGAAAGAUGAAAAGAACUUUGAAAAGAGAGUUAAACAGUACGUGAAAUUGUCAAAAGGGAAGCGUUUGACACCAGUGGUGUUUUUCUGAAAAUCAAUUAAAGAACUGUUUAUGCUAAGCUGUUUAGACUUUAUCAGCUAAUCUGUUUAGUUUUGAGCUUUUCUUUAAUGCACUUUUCAGUUAACAAGUCAACAUCAAUUUCUUUUGCUGUAAAAAAGCUUGAGGAAGGUGGCUUGAGAUUCGUCUUAAGUGUUUAUAGCCUCUUGCCUAUGCAGUCGGAGAGAUUGAGGUCUGCAGCGUAGAUCCUUCGGGGCUAAAUGCAUUUGUGCUAAGUUAUAGCAUUUUAUAGACAACUUGUUGACUAUGAUUUGUCUUGUAGCUUACUCGCUUAUGUUAUUUUACCUACGCUUAGGAUGUUGAAUCUGUGCGAGACUAC